rnacentral:misc_RNA from 1 species
GAAAUGCGAUACUUGGUGUGAAUUGCAGAAUCCCGUGAACCAUCGAGUCUUUGAACGCAAGUUGCGCCCGAGGCCAUCCGGCCAAGGGCACGCCUGCCUGGGCGUCACGCCAAAAGACGCUCCACGCCCCACCCCCUCCUCGAGGGGACGGCGGGACGCGGUGUCUGGCCUCCCGCGCCACGAGGCACGGUGGGCCGAAGCUCGGGCUGCCGGCGAAGCACGCCGGGCACAGCGCAUGGUGGACGGCUCACGCCGGCUCUAGACGCAGUGCACCCCGGCGCGCGGCCGGCGCAGCAGCCCCUCAGGACCCAAACACACCGUGUCGGCCACCCGUGGCCGCUCGGACCGCGACCCCAGGUCAGGCGGGACUACCCGCUGAGUUUAA